UUGAAAUCCUUAGGAUGUUGCUGGCCUUUCGGGGCAUGUGCACUCCGCCUUUUCAAUUCACCUGUGAACUCAUUGUAGGCCGGACUUGAAGUCUGUGUCUAUGUUUUUAUACAUCCUAUUAAAAAGUUUAACAGAAUGUCAUAUCAGACCUUUAUUGGUCGAAAUAAAUUAAUA
rnacentral:misc_RNA from 1 species